AAUGGACCUUCCAACACUGAAACAAAGAAGAGAAAGGAGACCAAAUACAAAUUUAUAAAUUAUUGAGCAAAAUGGAAGAAGUAGAUAAUGAGGAGUUACUGCUAUGAGUAGGAAUAAACACCAGGAACACAAGAGGACACAGUAAAAAAUUGAGGAAGGGAAGAUGUUUGAGAGACAAAGAAAUAUAGCUUCCUGCAAAGAAACGUAGAGGUUUGGAACAGCCUAAGUGAGGAUGUAGCAUUGGUGAAGAGUGUGCAAAACUUUAAGGAAAAGUUGGACAAAUUACAGAUACAGAGACGGGACCACACAAGCGUAAGCCCAGGCCCUGUAAAACUACAACUCGGUAAAUACACACAGCCUGAUUACGUGUUGGAUUACGAGUCCAACACGUGAUCAGGCCGUGGUGAAUUACACACACACACACACACACACACACACACACAGUUCCAAAACAUUGACAGUUAUGUUAGGGGAAUGUUUCUCCAUGUUUGGGAAUCACAGUUCAUAAUGAAGGUAAUGGACAAGAAUUUUCACAUGAAGGUAAAUGUAUAACAUGUUUGCCCUCAGCAGUGGCUUGUUAAUUCUCAUGUAUGAGUAAGCCUUUUUCAUUUCUUCUCUAUAUCUUUGAACUUGUUUUCUCUGGGAUCUCACAGAACAGUGACUGCAACAGGAGUCCUUAGUUUGUCCUUUUCAUACACAUAUCUAGUUUUCAGCAAAUUUUUCAUUAUAUUGAAUAUUCUCAUUUUCUACUUUACAUAUUCUUUGGCCCUCUUAAAUGCAUCUGCUCUUUCAGUAAUAUGUAUAUUUUUUUAUUGCAUGCAAAGCAGCCUCACGACUCACCCCUUGAGGGUUCACACCGAACCGUGAGUUGUGAACACAGAACAGUACACACGCCGUGUAAAGGUACCUGGCAUUCUGACACUCCACCUCCCACCCUAUCCGGACUCCUUUAGUCACUACUACCAACCAAAGAGACAUCAACUUGUAAAGAUACAAUAAUAAAUGUCAAGCUAUUUUUAUAAACUGCUUGCCCUUUCUUGCACAUGAGUGGCAUCAAAUUUGGAUGCAAAAAACUAAAAUGGAACUACAGAUUUUCAAGAUAGAAAGUUCAAUAAACUGGAUAGAUAAUAUACAGCACACUACAGAACAUUUUACGUGAAAAUCUAUUUUUUUAUGAGCUGUAUUACAAGUCGAAUCCGGGAAGUUUCGGGUCCCUAAAAAGGUCGGUUUAGAACUUUAGGGGCUGUAUUACAAGUCCAAUCCAAGAAGUUUCGGGUCACUACAGAGUUUGGGAUGGAUAACUUUAGGGACCUGAAACUUCUCAGAUUGGACUUGUAAUAUGGGCCCUAAACCGACCUUUGUAGGGACCCAAAACUUCUUGGAUUCAACUUAUAAUACGGCCCUAUAUCUGACACCCUGUUCCCUCAAGAGGACUUCCCUCAAGGAAGUAGCCUUGGCAGGAGUGUCUCCAACUUUUCCUGCUCCAGCACUCCCUCUAAGCACACUCAUUCCCUCACCCACCAACUCUCCCUCAGAAUCAUUAUCUCUACUGAUCCACUUCACUGGUGGUCUUCCCCUGUCACCGUAUCCCUCAAUCCUGCUCAUAUAUAUUCUUAACAAAGUCAUCCUCAUUUCUUCUCACAAUCAGGGCACCAUGCCUCACCAUCGACUGCUCCACAAUCCACUCCCUUUGUUAUUUUAUCCACACCAAACUUCUCGCACAUGUUUCCAUUACUUUCCCCCUCCUAUCCCGGCACACUAAAUUCACACUUCUUUCAUAACUCUAGCCAGGCACCAGUGUAUUGAGCAGCCUGUUACCUGGCUGACCUUCACUUCUCUUUCCCUCACCUCUCCAUGCUAACACAGAACUGUCCCUAAGUACUUAAACUCAAUCACUUCCUCUAUUUAUCUAAUCUAAACUAGAUCUUACACUCUUAUCAUACUUUCUUGCCCUCUCAAAUUCCAUGGCCUUACUUUUGUCAAGAUUUCCUUUCAAAUAUCUCCUCAACAAAAUGUACGUUCUAUGUUACUGCAGUUUCUCUGAUGAUUUUCCUCCUUACACUCCUUGUCAUAUUCAUUCACAAUCCUCUGUAGGAUCCUGUCACUUUCUGCCAACAACACUACCAUUUACAAAGAGGCCUGCCACCAAAGACUGAUGCAAAUGUCACUUCCAUUUCUAUUCAGUUAAAACUACUGUUAAUUGUUUUAUUUGCCUAUUUGAAUAUCAAUUAAAACAAUAAUUACUUGAAAAAUCACUAAAACAUUGUGUUAGUGGCAUGAAACUUUUCAUGAAGUGGCAGGCUGGGAAUACUUGCACUUCUGCAGUAUUCAUGUGGGCUGUGAUGGAGACAAAAUUGAUACAUAUCCUUGUGAAGGUAAAGGGGAACAAAUCUGUGAGAGGACAGAAUCCCUGCAGUGUAUGCCUGUUGUCACCUCCAUCACUGGCAGUUCAGAAGCAAUAAAAAGAUGCUCUGAUGCAAGAACAACAAAAUGUUCCAAAUAUUAGUAUAACAUGCAUGACAACCACAACACAGAGAGGCCAAGCACUGUCACACCAGCACGUGAUGGCUGGCUACAGCUGGCCACCCGGCUAGCGAAAGAAGUUGAGGAGUGAGCUGAGUGGGGAAAAGGCUGUCAGAUGCCAUGCUUGGCACAUUCCUCCAGCACUAAGAGACCCUUCAGGAUGCUUCAUGUCAUUGUGAAUUAACCACCAUGGCUAUGAUAAAAGGUCCCUCAACUAUUGUUGUUUAGUAAAACUGGCACUAGAUAUAACUGAAUUUUCUAUUUUGAUUUGUCAAAAUGAAGUAUCUUGACCAUCAAAAUUACCAACUAAGUCAUUUAAUGUAUGAGGAAGAGUGGUCAAGAAGUGUUUGUGACUUCAUGCACGCCAAACAAAUGCAUCACAUUUUGGCUUAUGCAGCAAGUCCCUGCAUGCACAUGCCAGUCACAGGGAGAAUGAAGUACAGGAACAAGAUGCACUAUGACAUGCCACUGUGGGGUGAGGAUGGAAGGUGGUGCUGAGCUGCUGACUCUGGCCUUCCCAAGUUACUGUGAAUUGCUAAUAUUGAUGAGUCGACUCUGUGCACAUCUUGUAAUCGACCAGUUUACACUGGCUCUGCUUGUAACAGUUCCUUAUCUGAGAAGUAAAUGAACUGGCCAAGACA